rnacentral:tRNA from 1 species
GGUGAAUUAGCUCAGUUGGCUAGAGCGUCUGCUUUUGUGGAAGGUCGCGAGUUCGAGCCUCGCAUUUACUG